rnacentral:siRNA from 1 species
GCCAUGAUGGAACGUGCAUUGC